AACGAACGCUGGCGGCAUGCCUAACACAUGCAAGUCGAACGAGACCUUCGGGUCUAGUGGCGCACGGGUGCGUAACGCGUGGGAACCUGCCUUUAGGUUCGGAAUAACUCAGAGAAAUUUGAGCUAAUACCGGAUGAUGUCUUCGGACCAAAGAUUUAUCGGCUUUAGAUGGGCCCGCGUUGGAUUAGCUAGUUGGUGGGGUAAAGGCCUACCAAGGCGACGAUCCAUAGCUGGUCUGAGAGGAUGAUCAGCCACACUGGGACUGAGACACGGCCCAGACUCCUACGGGAGGCAGCAGUGGGGAAUAUUGGACAAUGGGCGAAAGCCUGAUCCAGCAAUGCCGCGUGAGUGAUGAAGGCCUUAGGGUUGUAAAGCUCUUUUACCCGAGAUGAUAAUGACAGUAUCGGGAGAAUAAGCUCCGGCUAACUCCGUG
rnacentral:rRNA from 1 species